GGUGCAAGGGCAUCACUGGCUUGUUUCUAAUUAAAAACCACUAACCAAUGUUGGAUUGACACAUGGCUAUUAAAAGAAUAAUAAAAUAAUAAAAUAAAAAUAUAUUGUUAUAACAUUUUGAAACGAAAUGAAGGAAAAUAUAAGAACAUGAAAAUCAAAUCAACGAUCUCCCUUUCUCACGGUUUUUAUGCGCAUCGUAAGAACAAACAACAAAAC
rnacentral:lncRNA from 1 species